CAUGUUCUUAUGUUCAUUUUUCUGACGCUACAGGACAUAUCAUGGAGCGAAAUUGCAUCUCUGAGUAUUUUCACAUUAUAAUCGCUGUGAAUCUCUGGCAGACCCAAAUGGUGGGCUCAGACACAGUGAGAUUUCCUACAUCACAAAUCCAAGCUCCGCCCCUCAGAGCAGGCCAGACUCAGAAAAGUAGAGAGGACGAUCGUGGAACAAGCGUGUGCGUUGGUGAAUUGUAAAGCCCGUAAGAAAGCUAAUUGUGAUAUUAAUUUUCAUCAUGUUCUCAAACACAAUAGUGUCUGAGAGCUGAAUAGCUAUGGUGACCAUAUUCUGGCUUUGCAAAAAUAGGACAAGACUAUGCAGGGGCAGAGUCAUGGAGUCGCACCAAGUUAAUUUUGAGUUUUUCAAGUCAAAAUCAAAACUUAAGUAAAAACCACGGACAUUUGAAGAAUUUUAUAAACUUCCCUGGACAAAGCAGACUCGGACAGCCCCCCAAAAAUAGGACAUGUCGGGGUAAAAAAAGACAUAUGGUCACCCUUUAAAUAGCUCCUAUGUUACCUGCCACUUCUACUACAUCGGCAAUGUUAGUCUGCAAGCUAGCGUGAAGUGUGCAGAGCAGCGCUGUCUCUGACUACGACUCAGAGGCGAAUUGCUAAUGAGCUGCUGGAGCUCUGCAGAAGAAAAGCCCUUGAAAAUGACACAGGUAACAUCAUUUUGGCUAAAAACUUCAUAUUUACGACUUUAUGACCACUGAGAACACUUAAAAAAACGAUAGGAGUGGGACUUUAAAUACAUGAAACACUGUGUAGUGUUGAAGUAAAUCCUUUGAAAACAGAUAUACGAUACUGCUCUGGGGGUUGAAUUAAUUUUAUGUUGUAUUUAGUGACCCAACAAUACAACAAAAGAAAAACAGUCAGUCAUGAACUGUUUUUCCAACAUUUGGCGCCUGUUCCAGGGAAAAAAGCCAACCUCAAUAGACCAUCACACCCCGAACUGUUCAGUCUCACACGUGCCCUCUUGUUUGUCUCGCUCACGUGAUGAAUCUGAGUACCUGCUGAGUUCAUCACGCUGUUCUCUGUCUGCAGUCAUACUCAGCACCUUUAUAAGCUGAUUGUCUCUCAGUCCGUCCUGCAGCUCUGCAGGAGUCUCACAGCUUCAGACGGAGCUGUCAGCAUGUCCUGCAGCUGACUUCUUCACCGGCAGACACGAGUAAUCUCAUCAUGCUAAUUAAUUAAGAAACUCUGAACAACAUACAGGUCCUUCUAUAGUCAGCCUGUUGGAGUUUAGUCUGUUAUAUACUAUUGAAUCUAAUGUGGAUUUCACUAGAGAAUGAGUAAAGUCUAUUUAUCACUUUAUGUCACGUGGCGGAGAAAAGAAAAAAAGACCCAAAUGCAGAAGAAAAAAAUGAUUUAUUAAGAGAAGGAAAUAAAAAGCAACAAAAACGUACUUAAAAAAAACACUAGGAGACGAGCGAUUCACACAUAAAAGAUCAGACACACGCACACACAUUGACAUGCAUUCAAUGAACCAACAAGGACAGAGGGGAAGACAGGGACUAUAUACACACACAGGGAAACGAGCGACAGGUGAGGCAGACGAGACACAGGUGAAACUCAUCAUAGGUGAUUAACGAAGGAGGGAAAACUAGGGAAGUAAAACCAGAAUAGAAACGCAAUGAAUCAACUCCUACAAAAUAAAACAGGAAAUCAACACUGAAAAGUGGGAAACAGGGUCAGACACAAACUGAAAACUCACAAGACUGGACUACAGGAGAACAGGAACACCCCCAGAAAAUACACUCAAAUAACAAAACCAGGGAAAAACUAAAUGAACAGAACUUAUUAUGACACUGUUUAUACUAUAACAUGUUUUUUGCACCCUGUAUAAGUAGACUUUCCUGUUUCAGCUUCCCACAUAGAGAGUAAAAGUGAACCAGACUUCCUUUUGGAUGCAGAAAAUGGCGGUAAAUACAGCAGCUGUGCCUGUAUGACACCUUCUGUCUAUCCUGUAAUUGUACUUUGAACAUCACAGUCAGAAAAAAUCACCUCAAAACAACAAAUAAAGACGUAUCAUUUCCCUUGAGUAACUAUACUUUUAAGGCUUGUCUCGGAGAGUCAGUGGAAAAUAUACUGCAUGUUAUUUUUGUGAGUUUUAUCGAAAACUUCAAUAGUGUGCCAUAUCAUGUCAUUAAAAUGUCAAAUUUAUCAUUUUAAUUGGAACAAUCCCAUCUGAUUUAACACAUUUUCCAAAUAUACAGCAAAAAAUCUAUUAUUGACAGUUUUAACCACAUCACGUAGUGUUAAGUAAUACUUGACCAACACUUGGUCGACCCUUAUUAAAAGCUACAAGGAGACCUCAUCUUUGUGCAGUUGUAUCUUAAAAUUGUGCCAACAAAAAGGCGCAUACAUUCGGUGACUGAGACGUUGGGUUGGAUGAGAUUUGUCACUGUUGGCUGAUGUGAAGAUGUUAAAGGUAGGGUUGGUAAUCACAAUAAAACUAGCAUGAAUUUGAAUGUAGUAUCUCCUCAGCACUUCGUCUGGAUUUGAUUGGUUUAAAAAUGUGGGACCCACACGAUGUGAUUGGUUGGUGUUUUCCCAGUUUUGCUCCUGCUGUAGAUAAUGGCUAAGUUUCGCUCUUUUCAAGAACACAUCAUGUAUUGAUCGCCAUCGGAACAUAAAGAUCAUUUGAACCAUAAAAACAAAAAGAGUAUCUAAAUCGGAUUACCAACCCUACCUUUAAGAUAACCCUACCUUUUGAUUUUAGGUUCUCAUUUACUUCAUAAUAAGCCCAGGCAAGAUAUCUUUUGCCACUAAUGUUGGUUUAUAGAAAAAAAGGCCCUAGUAUUAUCCAUGACAGAUAUCACGUUCACUGCCACUUAUCUGUUUGCACAUUUCACAACUCAGUACCGUGCAACAAUAGCCUUACUCAGGCUGCAGGAUGGUGGUCAUUUCCUGGCCUUAGAGGCGGUCUGCAGGUCCUGGGGUAAUGAGCUAAUCUGUCAGUGGACAUGCCUCAAGUCACAACAGCCCAUCGUGGCCCUCAGCUCUGCGCCUCAUUAUAUAAGUCCUGCUGUCCCAUUUCCACCCUCCAUCCUGUACGUUCAUCACCCGGGUGGAGGACCUCUGGGGUAAAGAAAGUAAGCUCUGGCUCCUUCUUUUGGUUUGUAGCUCCAUGAAUAAUAGAUUCAAAAACACUCCUGUACUUUAACUCAUCCAUGCAUACAUUGUUUUCUGUUUCUCUCAGCGUGUACAAAAAAAACGUGAAAUUCAGACUCCAGGUCCACUACAGUAAGAUGAAUAUUUCAGAGCUCUUAUGCAACCUCCUCAAUUGGCCAGUCAGCAUAACUCUGAGCCGCUGCUUUCACCCAGCUACAUGAGACAGGCAGGAAUGCAGCGGCACUUUUACUGUCUCCAGCACAGCACUUAACAGUGUCCCAUGACGCAGCUUUAUAGUUUUAUCAUGUCCCCGAAAAUAUGCGUCCAGGCCAGGAGGAAGGAGGGGAAGUGACUUUAAUUAGCCGAGUGCCCGGCACCGAGCGUACAGAGCAUGAAGGCCAGCUGGUCUGCGCACAGAGGAGGCAGACAGCUAAUAUCCCUGGUGACUUUACUUAUUAACCACUCUGUCAUUUCAAUCUUGAGGACCAGAUGACAAGAUAAUGAAGAGGAGGAGAGGUAAAGAUGGAUUUUUGGUCCUGAUGAAAAUUUAUGAUGUAUGGUUUGAAACCAAAGAGGAAACCUGGACCUGAUGACGGCUCAAAAUAAAGAGUUAAGAAAAUGUGCAUCUUAAAGGGAACGCAAAUGUCUGCAGCAAUUUUAGGGUGUAAAUACGAUGAAUCACCAAAGUAAUUCACUAAAAAAACCUCAGAUGUCAAUGUUAUGAUGAUACUAGAGGAAGGUUCAGGACUUCAUCAAGGUCUUAAAAGGCCCACUCUGAAGAUAAUCACGUUUUUCAUGUUCAUAGGUUCAUUUUUUAUGCUACAGGACAUAUCAUGAGAAAAGUAAUUGCAAAAUUGCAUUUCUGAGUAUUUCUGCAGACCCAAAUGGCAGGUUCAGACACAGUGAGAUUUCCUAUGUCACAAAUCCAAGCUCCGCCCCCUGGAGCCCUGCUAUGCAGGCCAGACUCGCAAAAGUAGAGAGGACGAUCGCAGAACAAGCAUGUGAGUUAACGGAUAGCGAUGCUUGUAUGAAAGCUUAUUAUAAUAUUAACUUAAAUCAUGUCCCCAAAGACAUUAGUGUCCGAGAGCUGAAUAGAUCCUAUGUUACUUGACACUUCUAUUACAUCGGCUAGGUUAGGCAGCAAGCUAGCAUGAAGAGGAGUGUGCAGAGCUGCGCUGUCUCCGCCCACGACUCAGAGGAGAAUUGCUCAUGAGUUACUGGAGCUCUGCAGAAAAAAAGCUCUUGAAAUGACACAGGUAAUGCAAUUUUGACCCAAGAUCAUGAAUAUCAGGAGAGAAUUUCAUGACCAUCCAACUGAUAACCAACCAAAUUUCCCCUUGUAGGACCAAUGAAGGAGUAUCUUUUCUAAGAUGCAGGGGCUAUGGCAGGGGGACACCCUGGACAAGACGCCAGUCCAUCGCAGGGCUGACAUAUAGAGAUGAACAACCAUCCACGCUCACAUUCACACCUACGGGCAAUUUGAAAGUGGCCAGUUAACCUAAGCCCACUCAGGCAUGUUUUUGGGAUGUAGGAGGAAACUGGAGUACUCGGAGUAAACCCACACAGGCACAGGGAGAACAUGCAAACUCCACACAGAAACGCCCUGACCCGGAUUUGAACCCAGGACCUUCUUGCUGUGAGGCGACAGUGCUAACCACUACACCACUGUGUUGCCCUAGAUCAGCGACUUAUCUACUUCAACCAAAUAUUGAACCCUUUAGAACUGAACUUGAUGUUCUUGUUCUUUCUUAUGUUGUUCAUCAAUUCGUAAAAACAACUGAAUCAUCUGUCCGAUGAACUCUGAGGUUGACUCACUGUUUUGUGGGAUGAAAUUAAAGAGGAAGCACUGCGCUGCCCUUUGACCUCUGGACCUGACCUCACCUUCUUCUCUGGAAAAUGUUCCCACUGGUUCCCAUGCUCACCCUAUGAAUCAGACGGUUCAAUCACGCACAGCUCUGAUUUGAUGAGCUUCAGGGGAGAUACAAACAGAUGAUGGUCUUCCAUGUAAUCCCACUGAAGACAAUAGAAGCCCAGGGCAGCAGGCUUAAAUUAGUGCACUCUCGUAGUGGCCUUGUUGCACCGUCUUCCUGUCCAGAGCCGUGAGCAAGCAGUAACUCUCCAGGAAGGGCAAGGGAUCGUGGGAACCGGAGUGUCAACGCAGCCUAGGCCACGUUCAGGCGAAAGCUCCUUUUAGAGAACAACAUGACCAACUCUGCAAACAUCAUAGGAAGGGAAAAGAAACCAGAGGGGAAGCUGGAGAACAAUGAAGACGUGGAUGUGACACCACUGCUCGGCUGGGAACCAAAAACUCUGUUGUACUCGAGUCCAAGCCAGGUUCUCUGAAAUUCAUUGACAAAAAAUAAGGCCCAGUUCCCACGGGGACCUUUCCCACGCUGCGACUCAUGUUGUAUAUUUAUUCUGCUCUUGUCAAACAGCUUCCCCUUCUAGCUUGUACACUGCAUGUUUGUGUUUUCUUAUCUUUGUGGACGUGUUGUUAGUUUGAACUUGAUCCUGGCUUUAUGCAGGCCUUCUAGCCGCUGACCUUUCAGUAGAGAUUGGGGUUUCUUUGGCUGUUAUCCUCACCACGCAGAGAAAUGUAUACUCUACAUCUUUGUGGCUGCUUACAAUACCUGGAAAAACUUUGUUUUAGGGGUUAAAAACAUUGUGAUUUUAGUCAGAAAACACCACAAGCCUACGGCUAUCAUUCCAGUGAAGAUAUGUCACUUUCAAGUUCUCCAAAACAGGUUUUUCUGACCUCUCUACAGGUAUGGGAAAAGGUUGGCUUCUUGGAAGUGUCUACUCUAAAAAAGAUCUAAUUUAGUCUGAGCCCUUUUUUAUUUAGAUUUUACCCAGUUUUGUUCUUCAGUAUCACAGCAAAUAUUUAAUCAAGGAUCACAGUCACCAGUGACACAUUGAAAAUAGUGGUCUGGGUCUUAAGGACAACAGCGUCUGUCAGAUAUCAGUCAGCUCCAGCAGAAUCAGGGCUGUGCAAAUUUACCAGACUUAAUAACCCUUGCUAGUCUGCGCUUAGUCAGUUGAGUUGAUUUUGCAUUUUUAAUAUUGGUCACAUCUGUCUAAACUCAUACUAACUGUAUAGUAAAUGGACAUCGUACCAGUGAUGUCACCUGUUUGUUUGUGAAGCAGGGUUUGAGGCCUUUCUAAGGUAGUUGACCUUAUUUAGGGUGACAAUAUUCUGGAUCCCAGAAAAAGAGGACACAACUACGCGGGGGCGGAGUCACUGAGUCGCACGAGGUUAAUUUUGAGAGUUUCUGGGGUCAGCUUGAGUGUCUUUUAAGCGCUUCUAACUCAGUAAAUCCAUGUGACACAAACUCAAAACUUCCGUACAAAACCGCGGACAUUAGAAGGAUUUUAUAAACUUCCCUGGACAAAGCCGGACAGCCCCCCAAAAAGAGGACAUGUCCUGGUAAAAGAGGACGUAUGGUCACCCCAGGUAAGGCUGACUCUAACUGUUGGUCAACCUAGCAAAGGCGGGUCUUUGGCGUCCUCUAAAUAGCUACAGUGCGCAUGCCUGCUUUUUAAGUUGUGCAUCUGAUUUCACGGGAACCCCCAGCUAUUUCCCCCCGGCUGUACAUGGGUUUAUUUUCACUCUAAAAAUCUGCAUUUUUGGCUUAGUGUGUAUGGGUGUCCGGUCCUUCUGAAGCCACCCUCUAGAGGGCACUAAGGGAACUGCAGUUUUUAGCACUUUGGCAUUACCUUCAUUUCUCGAGACUAGAGGUUGCGGCUUGUUGAACUGGCCAAAACCACUUCAUGCAUUACCAGCAAAUGUAGGCGUCUUAUCUUUGGUCUCAACAGUUUUUGAUAAUUCAAAGUUUUGUUGUAGCGACCAUGAAAUUGAUCACUCUGGCACAUCAGCUCUGGGUUGUUUUUUUUUUGCCUCUGUAAUCAGAGCUGCACAGCCUGAAUACCAGCACAUUAAGAUGACCAGACGUCCCCGAUUUCUGGGGACAGUCCCUGUAUUGGAUGACCUGUCCCCAGCUAAAGCUGUCCCCGGAAAUGUCCCCGAUUUAAGCAUUUUAUGAAUGAGAACAAAAAUUUUGCAUGUAGAGUAUAUAACAAUGCGGUUAAUACGGUAGCCGAGUAGGUAGGAAGCAGGAGUGAGCAUGUUGCGCACAGUCCUGAACAACAGUUUUUACGGAGGACAUGCACUGCUACUAAGUAGUACCAAGAUGUCAGAAAUCCUGUCACUUUACAGCACAUGCCGUCCAUUGUUUCUUCAGAUACUCUAAAGCUGCUCCCUUUGAAAUGUCUCUAAACCUUCUUUUUAACACGACACAGUCCUUAAUUUGUUUUUUUUCAAUGUUUUCAAACAACUUUUAAUGUUACAUCCUGGUUUGUGCUCUCUGGAUUAUGUUGAGGAAAAGAUUCUGCAGAUUCAAAAUAUACAAGUCUAUGCUAGGGCUACAUCCAAUCAUCUGGUGAGGAAUUUUAUUGAGGUCCAGAUGAUAAACAAGAACUGGAAUUUACUGAGUAACCGAGAGGCUGAAUAUGAAACCACUGAGGCUCAAAGGUUUGUAAUUCUGCCAAACACUGUAACUGAGAGAGGAAGGAUAGCCUCGGCUCUUCAAACAAAAACUUGUGAAGGAGCUUAAAGAGGUCCGACAAUUUCUACAACAAUUCACCAUUCAGGUCUUUGCUACAGAGAGUAAGAGGCUCAGAGAGAACCAGGCCAAACGUGACAGAUGCCUGAGGAGAAAACUCAAGUUUCAGCAAAACAAUUCAAAACACAUGGAAAACACUGGAGCGCCUCUGGGGCAAAUAUCUCAGUGUCGCUCUGAGAAAUGAUUGGACUGUAGGACACCAUAAAAAAAGGAGAAAAGGUUGCAUGUGAGUAUCUAAAUAGGCAAACACUUUUUUUUAAAUCAUAUUCAAUAUAAAUUUUUACAAACUGCAUCUUUACUUGACCUCUAUUGUCAGCACCAAAAGAAUCAUUAAUGUUACUUGAAAACAAGACCUGUCCAACAGCAUGUUUCUCUGCUGUCUCACUGGCCUGUAGAUUAAUAUCUUAGCAAAGGAAUGAGGAGAGUUCUCACAGAAAUAUUCCAGUUUUAACCUCUUGGUGCCUUAUUUCACUUUAGCUCCAGAAAAAAACAUCAGUCAGUAAGUUUACAGGCUCUCCAAAAAAAUCAAACUAUUGCUCUAAUCUGACUGAAACUAGACUAGACUGCAGAUGAAUGUUGACGACUGCUUGCUUCUCUAGUUAUACCAACUUUAGUAAUGACCGCAGGAUAGCAAUACACAGCGGUCUGAGGAGCCAUAAACAAACCUCAACCAAAACGCCACUCUAUAGCCACAAAUAAUGCUCAGAACAGCACCUAACUUCAUCAACAGGACAUAUAGGGUCACAGCCACCAAACAUCUUUUUAAUUUUGACUGAUUUCUUUAGCAAAGAGACUAAACACAACUCACCUACUCUCUUCCAGCAGCUGCUUGUUUGUAGCGAGACCUCAGGCCAGUCCAUUACGGACUAUAGUGGGGUGACGCAGCUCAAGGAAGAACAUUUAUGAUCAUUUCUUUAUCAUUUCCUUUAAGUAAUAAUCAUCAUAUUAAUCAUUUUGCGCUGCAGACGCGGUAGUUCUUCUGUCUUAGCGUCUCGGUCUGAUUGCACUUCCAUGAAGUAAUAAUCAUAAAUGUUUUUCCUUGAGCUGCAAAACUCUACUGCACUCGGAGAUCGACUCGUCAGGGCUUACCCACAAACAAGCAGCUGCUGGAGGAGAGUAGGUGAGUUGUCUUUGGAUUCUUUGCUAAAGAAAUGAGUCAAAGUUAAAAAUAUGUUUCGUGGCUAGUACUAAAGCUGGGACCUUAUAUGUACUGUUGAUGAAGUUAGGUGCUGUUCUGAGCAUUAUUUGUGGCGUUUUGAUUUAAGUUUGUUUAUGGUUCCUCAGACCGCUGUGUAUUGCUAUCCUGCGGUCGUUACUAAAGUUGGUAUAACUAGAGAAGCAAGCGGUCAGCAACGUUCAUCUCUCGAGGGGGUGUCUGACUCGGUGUUACGGUGUGUUUGACCCUAAAUUAAUUUUACGCUGGAAUAUCCCUUUAAGAACACCUCAAGUAUUGAUUGCUAUCGGAACAUAAAGAUCAUUUUAACCAGAAUAACAAAACCAUAUCUAAAUGAGAUUACCAACCCUACCUUUGACUACAGCAGAUUAGGACCAUGGCCUCUGUAUAUGGGGGAUGAAAUCAAACAGCCGUAGACACUGGCACUCCUUAACUCAAUUUUUGGCUCUUUUCCAGCCUCAUUUGAUCUUCGUUUAACAUAUACUUAUAUGAGGGUUUACAGUGUUUAAAGUUCAUAUGAAACUAGAACAAUGAGCUGCAGAUGAUAUAACACUGUUGGUGAGUUUGACUGAGUAAUCAGCUUUAUUUCCAGAUAUUCGAUUGUCCCAGAUAAAGCUUUUCUCGCUCAGCUACUACAUAAUUUUCAGAAUGGGGACACAAACAAAAAUCUGCCCCACUGCUCCCUUACGGGAUGGCAGGAUGUGGGCGUUUGAUCCUGCGGUGUGACAGAAAAACCUCCACGCUUCAUGUUGUGUUGUGAUUCUCUCCAGUGUUCUUCUAAUCUCGCUGACAAAGCCUCUUGCAGGAAGCUAUGCCAGAUAUGUCCGGCCCGUCACGGCUUUACCAGCACGGCCAGUAAGUGAAGAAUAACAGUGUUUCACCGGACAAUCCCCAAUCGCCACAAACGAGGCCAAACCGAACAACAGAGGGUUUAACCAAGACCACGGUUGUGCCGACUCCAGGGAAUUCUUUCCAUAUUUUGCUCCUGGUGAGUCACUGGAUGCCUGAGUGAAUCUGGGCAAAACAAGGACUGCAGGGCACACAUCCCACUUUCUGUAGCACAUCAAAAAGUUUCUCUUGGCCGGGUUUGUGUUUUGCAAUCGUGAAGCCCAUUUUGCUUCAAUAACUUAUUAAAACAAUACAAAAAUUACUCACAAACUUUUACUUUGAACCUUUAUAGAAGAAAUAUUUAUCAGCAGAUUCUCAUUUCAGACUUGACUAAAGGCUCAUUGAAACAGAAAUAGAUCAUCUGAUUUUAUUUUACACGGGGUAAAUCUGUCCAAAUUAUACUCUGAUUAUAGCACUAACACGCUCCUCUGUAAUUUGG